AACGAACGCUGGCGGCAGGCUUAACACAUGCAAGUCGAACGCCCCGCAAGGGGAGUGGCAGACGGGUGAGUAACGCGUGGGAACGUACCCUUUACUACGGAAUAACUCAGGGAAACUUGUGCUAAUACCGUAUGUGCCCUUUGGGGGAAAGAUUUAUCGGUAAAGGAUCGGCCCGCGUUGGAUUAGCUAGUUGGUGGGGUAAAGGCCUACCAAGGCGACGAUCCAUAGCUGGUCUGAGAGGAUGAUCAGCCACAUUGGGACUGAGACACGGCCCAAACUCCUACGAGAGGCAGCAGUGGGGAAUAUUGGACAAUGGGCGCAAGCCUGAUCCAGCCAUGCCGCGUGAGUGAUGAAGGCCCUAGGGUUGUAGAGCUCUUGCACCGGUGAAGAUAAUGACGGUAACCGGAGAAGAAGCCCCGGCUAACUUCGUGCCAGCCGCCGCCGUAAUAC
rnacentral:rRNA from 1 species